CGCGUAGGCGGUUUCGGAAGUUAUGGGUGAAAGCCCCCGGCUCAACUGGGGAAUUGCCUGUAAAACCACGGGACUGGAGUGCUGGAGAGGGAAGUGGAAUUCCCAGUGUAGCGGUGAAAUGCGUAGAUAUUGGGAGGAGCACCAGUGGCGAAGGCGGCUUCCUGGACAGACACUGACGCUGAGGCGCGAAAGCCAGGGGAGCAAACG
rnacentral:rRNA from 1 species